rnacentral:rRNA from 1 species
UGCCAGCCGCCGCGGUAACACUCGCGGUCCAAGUCGCAGCCAUUUUUAUUGGGUCUAAAACAUCCGUAGCUUGCUUGAUAAGUUCCUUGUGAAAUUCCAUGUCUCAAAUAUGGAGCGCGCAAGGAGUACUGUCAAGCUAGAGACUGGAAGACGUGAGGAGUACGUUCGAAGUAUCGGUAAAAUGAGUUAAUCUCGAACGGACUAACAAUAGCGAAGGCACCUCACGAGUACAGUUCUGACAGUAAGGGAUGAAAGCUAGGGGCGCAAAACGGAUUAGAUA